CUACGGGAGGCAGCAGUGGGGAAUAUUGCACAAUGGGCGCAAGCCUGAUGCAGCCAUGCCGCGUGUAUGAAGAAGGCCUUCGGGUUGUAAAGUACUUUCAGCGGGGAGGAAGGGAGUAAAGUUAAUACCUUUGCUCAUUGACGUUACCCGCAGAAGAAGCACCGGCUAACUCCGUGCCAGCAGCCGCGGUAAUACGGAGGGUGCAAGCGUUAAUCGGAAUGACUGGGCGUAAAGCGCACGCAGGCGGUUUGUUAAGUCAGGUGUGAAAUCCCCGGGCUCAACCUGGGAACUGCAUCUGAUACUGGCAAGCUUGAGUCUCGUAGAGGGGGGUAGAAUUCCAGGUGUAGCGGUGAAAUGCGUAGAGAUCUGGAGGAAUACCGGUGGCGAAGGCGGCCCCCUGGACGAAGACUGACGCUCAGGUGCGAAAGCGUGGGGAGCAAACAGGAUUAGAUACCCCCGUAGUC
rnacentral:rRNA from 1 species